rnacentral:rRNA from 1 species
AUCACUGGUGUUCGGGUUGUCAUGCCAAUGGCACUGCCCGGUAGCUAAAUGCGGAAGAGAUAAGUGCUGAAAGCAUCUAAGCACGAAACUUGCCCCGAGAUGAGUUCUCCCUGAGACUUUAGAUCUCCUGAAGGAACGUUGAAGACGACGACGUUGAUAGGCCGGGUGUGUAAGCGCAGCGAUGCGUUGAGCUAACCGGUACUAAUGAACCGUGAGGCUUAACCUUACAACGCCGAAG